CUACGGGCUGCUCCAGUGAGGAAUAUUGGUCAAUGGGCGCAAGCCUGAACCAGCCACUCCGCGUGUAGGAUGACUGCCCUAUGGGUUGUAAACUACUUUUAUACAGGAAGAAACCUCCAUACGUGUAUGGAGCUGACUGUACUGUAAGAAUAAGCAUCGGCUAACUCCGUGCCAGCAGCCGCGGUAAUACGGAGGAUGCAAGCGUUAUCCGGAUUUAUUAGGUCUAAAGGGUGCGUAGGCGGAUAUUUAAGUCAGUGGUGAAAUCCUACAGCUUAACUGUAGAACUGCCAUUGAUACUGGAUGUCUCGAGUUUAGUUGAGGUAGGCGGAAUGUGUAGUGUAGCGGUGAAAUGCUUAGAUAUUACACAGAACACCGAUUGCGAAGGCAGCUUACUAAGCUAACACUGACGCUGAGGCACGAAAGCGUGGGGAGCGAACAGGAUUAGAUACCCUAGUAGUC
rnacentral:rRNA from 1 species